GGGGGUAUAGCUCAGUUGGUAGAGUGCUUGCCUUGCAUGUGUAAAGUCCUGGGUUCAAUGCCCAGUGCCACAC
rnacentral:tRNA from 1 species